CAGCCGCCGCGGUAAAACCAGCACCUCGAGUGGUCAGGAGGUUUAUUGGGCCUAAAGCAUCCGUAGCCGGUUGCAUAAGUUUUCGGUUAAAUCUAUGCGCUUAACGUAUAGGCCGCCGAAAAUACUGUGCAGCUAGGGAGUGGGAGAGGUACACGGUACUCGAUAGGAAGGGGUAAAAUCCUUUGUUCUAUUGAUGACCACCUGUGGCGAAGGCGGUGUACCAGAACACGUUCGACGGUGAGGGAUGAAAGCUGGGGGAGCAAACCGGAUUAGAUACCCCUGUAGUCCCUGUCUCUUAUAU
rnacentral:rRNA from 1 species